rnacentral:lncRNA from 1 species
GAGAAGAGUUUCACCAAGAGAAAAAUCAAGAGAAAAACUCUGGAUGUGGGUUUGUUCUAGGCGUGGGUUCCCUAGGGUUUCAAUCUAGGGUUUCGGGAAGAGAAGAAAAAUAAGCAAAAAGUGUCUUGUCUUCACCUUUCUCCCACCCCAUUCUUCUCCUUAACGUCCUCCUUCACCUCCUGAAAGUGUCCGAGAGAUCGAAGAAAGAAGUUUGAUCAGCUAUUAAUAGGGUCUCUACGUGAGCUAGCACUCUCGGA